rnacentral:tRNA from 1 species
UCACUGGUGGUCCUGUAGUAGGAUUCUUGCCUUCCAUGCAGGAGACCUGGGUUCAAUUCCUGGUCAACGCA